UACGUAGGGACCGAGCGUUGUCCGGGAUUAUUGGGCGUAAAGGGCUCGUAGGCGGUUUGUCGCGUCGGGAGUGAAAACACACAGCUUAACUGUGUGCUUGCUUCCGAUACGGGCAGACUAGAGGUAUGCAGGGGAGAACGGAAUUCCUGGUGUAGCGGUGAAAUGCGCAGAUAUCAGGAGGAACACCGGUGGCGAAGGCGGUUCUCUGGGCAUCACCUGACGCUGAGGAGCGAAAGUGUGGGGAGCGAACA
rnacentral:rRNA from 1 species